rnacentral:sRNA from 1 species
AGAUGCUCUGACCUUUGACCCCUGCCGUUCAGCUCUAGGGCCCGUGCAGGCCACACCAUGAACACCUCCCCAGGCACGGUGGGCAGUGACCCGGUCAUCCUGGCCACUGCAGGCUACGACCACACCGUGCGCUUCUGGCAGGCCCACAGCGGCAUCUGCACCCGGACGGUGCAGCACCAGGACUCCCAGGUGAAUGCCUUGGAGAUCACACCGGACCGCAGCAUGAUUGCUGCUGCAGGUUACCAGCACAUCCGCAUGUAUGAUCUCAACUCCAAUAACCCUAACCCCAUCAUCAGCUACGACGGCGUCAACAAGAACAUCGCGUCUGUGGGCUUCCACGAAGACGGCCGCUGGAUGUACACGGGCGGCGAGGACUGCACAGCCAGGAUCUGGGACCUCAGGUCCCGGAACCUGCAGUGCCAGCGGAUCUUCCAGGUGAACGCACCCAUUAACUGCGUGUGCCUGCACCCCAACCAGGCAGAGCUCAUCGUGGGUGACCAGAGCGGGGCUAUCCACAUCUGGGACUUGAAAACAGACCACAACGAGCAGCUGAUCCCUGAGCCCGAGGUCUCCAUCACGUCCGCCCACAUCGAUCCCGACGCCAGCUACAUGGCAGCUGUCAAUAGCACUGGAAACUGCUAUGUCUGGAAUCUGACGGGGGGCAUUGGUGACGAGGUGACCCAGCUCAUCCCCAAGACCAAGAUCCCUGCCCACACGCGCUACGCCCUGCAGUGUCGCUUCAGCCCCGACUCCACGUGCGUGCAGGGCCUGCUGGCCCGGGAGGGGACUUGCCUGGGCUGGGGGCUAGAGAGGGGAGGGGCUGCUGGAUGGAGUGGCUGCUGCUGGACACGCCCCAUGCCCACCCACUAGGCUCCUCGCCACCUGCUCGGCUGAUCAGACGUGCAAGAUCUGGAGGACGUCCAACUUCUCCCUGAUGACGGAGCUGAGCAUCAAGAGCGGCAACCCCGGGGAGUCCUCCCGCGGCUGGAUGUGGGGCUGCGCCUUCUCGGGGGACUCCCAGUACAUCGUCACUGCUUCCUCGGACAACCUGGCCCGGCUCUGGUGUGUGGAGACUGGAGAGAUCAAGAGAGAGUAUGGCGGCCACCAGAAGGCUGUUGUCUGCCUGGCCUUCAAUGACAGUGUGCUGGGCUAGCCUGUGACCCCUCGGGACUGCCUGGUGCAGGUGGUGGCAGCUGGAGGGACCCAUGCAGCACCCAGGUCAGAGCAGACCCUCCCCUGCCGGCCUGCGCCAGCUGGACCUGAUGGCCCCCUGUGGUGCCUUGACCUGCUGGGCCAGGCUGCCCUGGGACUCUCAGCCCCCAGUUGCUUAUCCAGAUGUGACAGAGCUCGACCCAAGCCAGGCUGCACACUCCUGGACUGGGCUAGCCUGCACUGCCUGGGAAAGUCGGCCGAGGGCCCAAAGCUGCUGAGGGGUCUGAGGCUGGUGCCCACCCCCAAGCUAGUGCGUUCUCUGCCCCUCCCUGCCCGCGUUUCAGGGCCUCGGUCCAUAGAGAACACCACCACCAUGGCCAGGUGGAAGGGUUUAUUAGUCCCUGCCGGCAGCUGUCCUCCCUGGUGCAGGUGGCCUGGCCAGCCCACUGGAUUGGGGACGGACGGGCCAGGCUGGGCCAGGUCGGGGGCUCAGUCUGG